rnacentral:misc_RNA from 1 species
GACGAAGGGUGCAAGCGUUGUCCGGAUUUACUGGGCGUAAAGGGUCCGUAGGCGGUUUGUCACGUCUUGUGUGAAAGGCUUGGGCUUAACCCAAGUUGUGCGCAAGAUACGGGCAGACUAGAGAACUUUCGGGGCUGUUGGAACUGCUGGUGUAGGGGUGAAAUCCGUUGAUAUCAGCAGGAACACCGACGGCGAAGGCGGACAGCUAGAAAGUUUCUGACGCUCAUGGACGAAAGCUAGGGGAGCGAAAGGG